rnacentral:lncRNA from 13 species
CAACAGUGGAGUUUUCCGGAUGUGUGCACAUUACAGUAGAUUAAAUGCAGAAGCAGGGGGAAUGAUGACAGGACCCACUUUAGAGCCACCAAGAAGAUCAAAGACUAGGCAGAGUGUUGGGAGAGGGGGAGCUACGCUUCUGAGCUGCAACCUCUGUGCAAAUAACAACUUCAUCCCCUCCACAGGCUCUUCCGGGUCCCUGGGCAUCAGGAGUGUGUCACCAAAAGAAAGCCAAUGAUGACUGAAGCUCGGUAUAAGCAGCAGUUAGGGAGUGCUCUCCCCUCCUCUCUUUCCUCCCCCACACCCCCGCAGCUGUCCAAUCCCCAGCUUCAUCCUCCCUGCCAGGCUGCUCGCCAGCUGUGUGCCCCAUCCCAAUCCCUGGCAGCAUAAGCCAGAUGGGAGAGGCUUUCUGACUCUGAAAGGUGGGAGGCAGUGAGGACAGAGGGAAGGCCAGGGUGUUCUUGGCUGGUUCCCUCCUUGCAACUGUUUCCAACUAGGCAAAGCCAGGCCAGGCCUGGGAGUCCCAGCUGGAAAAAGGACUUUCCCUCCCUUGCCUCUGGCUUUAGCUGGGUUCACCCUUGCCAGGCCACCCCUCUAGACUCAUAGUGUCCUGGGUGCCCAGGGCU